CUCUACCAGCCACAGGGCCUGCUCUACCAGACACAGGGCCUGCUCUACCAGACACAGGGCCUGCUCUACCAGACACAGGGCCUGCUCUGGUUUACUUGGUGUUUGAUGGAGAAGGCGUAACCUUUGAACCCUUUAGUGAGACUGACCAGAGAACGACCAGGUCCUCCGCGCCAAUCAAACCCACAAUCAGUAAUUAUGUUUUUGCACUCAUUUUAUUUGGCACCAAUCCUAUUAAUGUGGGACCCAUGGAUGUUUUGAUUUUGGCUUUACAAAUGUUUUUAAAACAAUCUGGCGUAUUAAUUUAUCAAACAUGUCUUUGAAAUUUGCUCUUGCCCAUAAUUACAUUAUUGCACAUACCUCUGUUAUUAAAUGUACAGUAUUAAGGAGUCUUCAGGCUACUGUUUUGUCAGCGUGUUUCUUUACUGGUCCUGUUUAAUGUCCGUUAACAGUACAAUAGAAAGCCCAUAAUGCAUUGAAACAAUGCAUGCACAAUUAGUCAAAAUAAGACUAAUUAUGAGAGCAAGGGUGUUUCAAUGUGCUUCUAUUUGAGUCAUUUAAACAAAGCUCAGGAUCAAAUGUUUAGUAAAUGACCCUUCAGCCAGAAUCUGUCCACCCAUCUGAAGGGAAUGUCUGUAACUAGAUACAGACCCUUAUAGCGGGUCCACUGUGUCGAUUAAACAGAACAUUCUGGAUUCACUUGAGAGAACAUCCAUCUCUGGGAGAAGACCCUCCUCACCCCCCCUCUUGUUCUCAGUGCUGUCCCUAAACGACAGACGGCAGGCAGGAACUAUUAAUAGCAGCGAGGCUCACAGAGGGGCUGAUGUACAUGAACACACCAUAAACACCGCGAGCAGAACCCAACACCUGCCGCACAGCCUCCGCACGGCGCCGCUCACCGCAGCGCGCCGUUGGUUGGUGGCCGUCAUUAUUAAUAUGCUAUAGACCCCCCCCCCCCAGGUGUAUUUGCGUCCCACUCUAGAGCAAUCUGUUUGGAGAUGUUUGGUGGUGAAUAAUUGACGGGCUGUAUUGGGGGGUCCAGGCUAUAUAUAGAGGAGCAGCAGAGCGUGGGAGGGGUUAUGUAACCACACGUGAGCUCAGACGCACUCUGAUUGGACGCCUGAGAGGAGAGGAGGAAUCAAGAGGAGUGGGGACGGGGAGCCGCUCCUCCUCCUGCUGGCGGUCUGAGGGAGGUGCUCCUCCUCCUGCUGGUGGUCUGAGGGAGGUGCAGCUCCUCCUGCUGGUGGUCUGAGGGAGGUGCAGCUCCUCCUGCUGGUGGUCUGAAGGAGGUGCAGCUCCUCCUCCUGCUGGUGGUCUGAGGGAGGUGCAGCUCCUCCUGCUGGUGGUCUGAAGGAGGUGCAGCUCCUCCUGCUGGUGGUCUGAGGGAGGUGCAGCUCCUCCUGCUGGCGGUCUGAGGGAGGUGCUCCUCCUCCUGCUGGUGGUCUGAGGAGGUGCAGCUCCUCCUGCUGGUGGUCUGAAGGAGGUGCAGCUCCUCCUGGUGGUGGUCUGAAGGAGGUGCAGCUCCUCCUCCUGCUGGUGGUCUGAAGGAGGUGCAGCUCCUCCUGCUGGUCUGAAGGAGGUGCAGCUCCUCCUCCUGGUGGUCUGAAGGAGGUGCAGUUCCUCCUCCUGCUGGUCUGAAGGAGGAGGUGCAGCUCCUCCUGCUGGUCUGAAGGAGGUGCAGCUCCUCCUCCUGCUGGUCUGAAGGAGGUGCAGCUCCUCCUGGUGGUGCUCUGAAAGAGGUGCAGUUCCUCUUGGCCUGAGGACCGUCUCUUAGCUUAGGGCUGAUCCCAGCUACAGGUCUUCCUUACAGUCACAUGAGUAUAUCACGAUUUGUGAUGUCACAAAUCCAUUAAAUGACUUUGUUUCCAACUGUUUUGAGCUGUUUCAUUGGCCAACAAGUCAACAAAUUGUAUUUAUUGAAUGUCCAUCCCUCUUUAUCUGCGCUGUAUUGAACAGAGCAGCAACACACUCUCCUUCCACACUCAAAAGCAGAACUCUUAACUUUUUUUUUGUGUUUUGCAUGACAUUUAUUUUGGUUAUCUUCAUUUAAUUUGCUCCAUGUUAAAUUGUUAUACUUUGUAAGUGUAACAAUUUACACUUACAAAGAUAUUAAAAUGUAAAGAUAUUAAAAUGUGACAUAAG
ensembl:lncRNA